AAAACCAUCUCUCCCUUUGGGGAGGGGAUUUGCUGGAACUUGUACUCCGGUUAAAUGUAUUAGGUUUGGAUCAGGCUAGUGGCCUGGGACAUUGUGUGCUAGAGACGAGAGUCUUCUCACAGUGCGUCCUGGGUCAUCAAAGCUAGCCUGUGGUAGAGCCUUUAACAGCGCAGUGGGGGCUGGUUGCGGGGGUCAAUCCUCGCUCUCGGUCCACCUCUGGCUACCCUUUCU
rnacentral:misc_RNA from 1 species